rnacentral:rRNA from 1 species
GUUUAAUUCGAAGCAACGCGAAGAACCUUACCAAAUCUUGACAUCCUUUGACAACUCUAGAGAUAGAGCCUUCCCCUUCGGGGGACAAAGUGACAGGUGGUGCAUGGUUGUCGUCAGCUCGUGUUGUGAAAUGUUGGGUUAAGUCCCGCAACGAGCGCAACCCUUAAGCUUAGUUGCCAUCAUUAAGUUGGGCACUCUAAGUUGACUGCCGGUGACAAACCGGAGGAAGGUGGGGAUGACGUCAAAUCAUCAUGCCCCUUAUGAUUUGGGCUACACACGUGCUACAAUGGACAAUACAAAGGGCAGCGAAACCGCGAGGUCAAGCAAAUCCCAUAAAGUUGUUCUCAGUUCGGAUUGUAGUCUGCAACUCGACUACAUGAAGCUGGAAUCGCUAGUAAUCGUAGAUCAGCAU